UGCCCAGGUGGGAUUCGAACGCACAACUCUUUUAUGCUAGAAGAGCGCUUUACCAACAAGGCUAUUAAGUC
rnacentral:tRNA from 1 species